ensembl:processed_transcript
CUACUCGGUUUGCCUCUGCUGUCAUUAGGAUCUAAGGCACCCUGCUGAGGCCGCGUUAUUGUAAAGGGACAGGCUGGUACGGACGCCCUGGCUGUCCUGGAACUCACUCUGUAGACCAGGCUAGGCUGGCCUAGAACUCAGAAAUCUGCCUGCCUCUGCCUCCCAACUGCUGGGAUUAAAGACGAGCGCCACCGCCCGGUUUGCCUAGCACAUUCUUGCUCCGUUAUUUGCGGAAGAAAGGGAUAUGCACACAAUCCCCGCGGUUAUCUAAGUAGAUUUGAGGCAGGAACGAAGAAAGAGGAACAGAGCUAAGGUGAGCUUCAGGAGGAAGGUACAAAGGUGACUUAGAUUUGGAUUACAUAUUGCUGUGAAAGAUAGGAAAGUGGCCAAUGUGCACUUUGGUGAUCCCGGAGAGAUGGAGAGAACAGAUUAUCUCGGUCCAAGGAGCUGGGUGUGUCCUGUGGGACAGUCAGGAAGAGGAGCCUGCUUCUGAAGUCUGCUUUCCUGAGAUUUAUUUAUUAUUAUAUCUAAGUACACUGUAGCUGUCUUCAGAUGCACCAGAAGAGGGCAUCAGAUCUCAUUGUCUUUGGAAGAGCAGUCGG